GCGGGGAUGCCGGAGUGGUCAAACGGGUUGGGUUUAGGCCCCAAUGGCUUAGUGCCUGCGCAGGUUCGAAUCCUGUUCCCCGCA
rnacentral:tRNA from 1 species